rnacentral:rRNA from 1 species
UACGUAGGGUGCGAGCGUUAAUCGGAAUUACUGGGCGUAAAGCGUGCGCAGGCGGUGAUGUAAGACAGGUGUGAAAUCCCCGGGCUUAACCUGGGAACUGCAUUUGUGACUGCAUCGCUGGAGUGCGGCAGAGGGGGAUGGAAUUCCGCGUGUAGCAGUGAAAUGCGUAGAGAUGCGGAGGAACACCGAUGGCGAAGGCAGCCCCCUGGGUCGACACUGACGCUCAGGCACGAAAGCGUGGGGAGCAAACAGG